rnacentral:lncRNA from 7 species
GCAGCCGCUACCAGAGCCUUCUGGACCGGGGAUGAAUCGACCGGAGAGAAUGAGAGAAGUCAGGGGACGAAUCGACCGGAGAGAAUGAGAGAAGUCAGGGGAGGAAUCGUCUCCGUCGUGCCGCCAUCUUCUCCACUAAGUUGACGCCGGUCGCUAGUCGCCGCUCUCGACGUCCCCCCUCCUCCGUCGUCCACUGCCCUUGGCACUACACCAGUGUCGUCCGCCGCAUCAUCGUUCCUGCUUCGCCGCAUACUCGCCGCGCCGUCGCCGACAAGGACCAUCCGGGCUGAGGCCUGCUAAAAUCUCCACCACUUCUCUGACUACUUCGUCAUCUCCUCCACGUUCGACAUAGAUACAAAUGUCUUUUCCCCCAUCGGAGCUGAGUACAUCCGAGUGUCCUCACUGAUAGGGUUUGCAAAUACAUAUGCCUUUUCUCAAUUGGAACUCCGUACACCUGCUCGCACUUGAUUAUUUCUCAUUGCAGCUAUCAGUCGUCCGUUCAUUUCACGUAGGACCUUCCUGUGCUUCCAGAUUGUUAAUGGCGUCCGGUCAAAAAUAAGUUAGCUAUACCAUCCUCACCCUCGGAGCUCCGUACAUGCGAGUGUCCUCGCUGUUAGGGUCCACAUGUACGGAUGUCUUUUUCCUUAUCAGAGCUCCAUACACCUGCUCGAAAUUGGCUUCAUCAACUUCAACAUAUUUACUCAAGGGAAAAAAGGCUGCUUGAUUAAGAGUAAAGAAGAAGACGAAGAAAGCGAAGAAAUGAGAAAAGGCUGAAGCUUAGGUGAACCAUUAGGCCGAAGGGACUUUCGUAUUUUGGAAUGAACACUUAUGCAGUUAAACUACUGCUUAUUGUAAUAUAGCAUUUUACUCUUUGUAGUGUUUUCCCUUUUUUACUCUAAAUGCUUUUGUUGUGUGUGAAACCAAGUAUUUCUAGUAUUUUGAGGCGAAGGCGAAAAACACCUUGCCUUCUUUUCAC